CUCCCAACAAUAUGCACACUAUAUAGUUGGGGAUCAUUGGCGCACAAUCUAGCGGACUGCCGGAAGAUGAUGGAGGCAAAAAAGAUGGGAUUAGCGGAGCCACCAAGGGCGACUGCGAGUCAGAGCAAGAAGAGGAGCCUGCUUGUUCCUCCUACAAGAAGAGGAAGUAUAAAGCGCAAGGUUUUCGUCCUCCUAUACAAAAAAAUGAAGCUUGCUGCCUACUUGCCUUUCAUUACCUGCUUGGCGACAACAACCACAACUGCAGUCACCCAUCCCGGCCAUCCGCCUCUUCUCAUAUAAAAUAAUACAGCCUUCAUGCGAUUGAUGGGAAGGUUGAAGAAAGAGCACCAAACGGGAAGAAAAGAGUAUAUAUUAAUAAACAAGAGAUCCCCAUAUUUCUCCCUUUCUAUAGGGUUUUUUUUCUUUUCUUUUUUUAAACUUAAGAGUACCCGGCCAAUUCCCAUCCCAGUGUCCAUCCUUUGGUUUCUUGGUUCAAUUGUAGUGCACAAAUAAUUGUGUCAUUCCCAUAUAUAAAUGUUAUUGAUAUCUCUUGAAUGUACAUCGAUCAUGUUAAAUAUUCGAAUUAAUAACU